GUGAGGAAUUUUCCGCAAUGGGCGAAAGCCUGACGGAGCAAUGCCGCGUGAAGGAUGAAGGCCUAUGGGUUGUAAACUUCUUUUCUCAGAAAAGAGUUAUGACGGUAUCUGAGGAAUAAGCAUCGGCUAACUCUGUGCCAGCAGCCGCGGUAAGACAGAGGAUGCAAGCGUUAUCCGGAAUGAUUGGGCGUAAAGCGUCUGUAGGUUGUUUAAAAAGUAUUCUGUCAAAGAUUAGGGCUUAACCCUAGAUAGGCAGAAUAAACUUUUAAGCUAGAGUUUGGUAGAGGCAGAGGGAAUUCCCGGUGGAGCGGUGAAAUGCGUAGAUAUCGGGAGGAACACCAAAGGCGAAGGCACUCUGCUGGGCCAAUACUAACACUGAGAGACGAAAGCGAGGGGAGCAAAUGGGAUUAGAAACCCGUGUAGUCC
rnacentral:rRNA from 1 species